AUGUUACAUUAAGUUAUAACAAAUGACAUGGCUUUAAGUUUGGAGGUAUGGGCCAGAAUGCUGCUAAGUGACCUUUGUGACUACCCCAGUCCCAAGUACUCCUGAUCAAAUGGGGGUGCACCCAGCUGAAACAGCUUGCACAAUCAGGAUCUGUCAUGGGCAGUGCUUAGAAGCAGUCUGCACAACAAAAGGACAAAAUGAAGGGGUGAUUGCAGUGCUGGGGGAAGAGGGAAGGCACACCUGUCCAAGGUUUUCUCUGACUAAAGAUAUGAUGGCAUAUCCACUUCUGUUCAGGUGGCAUGGGGGAAGCAGAGAAGGAUACAUAUAAAUAUCCAGCACCAGCAUAAAACUUAUUGGUAUGGAGUUGAUGUCACUGUUCUUCUUUU